ACACCUCAACUCCUCAUGGUUUGCCAUGAUGAGCUUGGACCUUGGGGGUAUUGCUGGCCCUGUGGUUGGCUCCUCUCAAAUGGAUCAGCUUGCCAGUGUUUGGUGGCAUCACGGGUGUGAUAAAUAUCUACGCUUGUGGUUUUCCACCAUAUAACCUUCCGUGGUGAAGUGCGCUGGAGCUCACAAAUGUCCCUCCUCAGCGAGGACAGCUUCUGAAU
rnacentral:misc_RNA from 1 species